GACGAACGCUGGCGGCGUUCCUAAUACAUGCAAGUCGAACGCAUUUUCUUUCACUGUAUCUUGCUACACCGAAAGAAACUGAGUUUCGACCGGGUGAUUAACACGUCGUUAACUUGCCCAUCAGCCCGGGAUAACACUCGGAAACAGGUGCUAAUACCGCAUUAUUUCAUUUACCGCAUGCUAAAUGGAUGAUGGCGCUUUUUCUUCACUGUUGUCUGGUUCCGCGGUGCAUUAGCUAGUCGGUGGGGUAACGGGCUACCACGGCUGCGAUGCAUCGCCGACCUGAGAGGGUGAGCGAGCACACUGGGACUGAGACAAGGCCCAGACUCCUACGGGAGGCAGCAGUAGGGAAUCGUCGGCAAUGGACGCAAGUAUGACAGAGAAACGCCGCGUGAGGGAAGAAGGUUUUCGGAGCGUAAAACUAUGUUGUUAGAGAAGAACAAGGAUGAGAGUGGAAAGUUCAGCACUUGACGGUAUCUAACCAAAAAGCCACGGCUAAAUACGUG
rnacentral:rRNA from 1 species